ACGCUGGCGGCACGCCUAACACAUGCAAGUCGAACGAAGUAGCAAUACUUAGUGGCAGACGGGUGAGUAACAUGUAGGUAUCUGCCCUUUGGCCUGGAAUAACACGAGGAAACUUGUGCUAAUACCGGAUAAGUCUUUACGGAGAAAGCUUUAUGCACCAUUGGAUGAGCCUGCACUUGAUUAGUUUGUUGGUGGGGUAAUGGCCUACCAAGACUGUGAUCAAUAGCUGAUUUGAGAGGAUGAUCAGCCACAUUGGGACUGAGACACGGCCCAAACUCCUACGGGAGGCAGCAGUGGGGAAUCUUGCACAAUGGAGGAAACUCUGAUGCAGCGAUGCCGCGUGAGUGAAGAAGGCCUUUGGGUUGUAAAGCUCUUUCGUCGGGGAAGAAAAUGACUGUACCCGAAUAAGAAGGUCCGGCUAACUUCGUGCCAGCAGCCGCGGUAAUACGAAGGGACCUAGCGUAGUUCGGAAUUACUGGGCUUAAAGAGUUCGUAGGUGGUUGAAAAAGUUAGUGGUGAAAUCCCAGAGCUUAACUCUGGAACUGCCAUUAAAACUUUUCAGCUAGAGUAUGAUAGAGGAAAGCAGAAUUUCUAGUGUAGAGGUGAAAUUCGUAGAUAUUAGAAAGAAUACCAAUUGCGAAGGCAGCUUUCUGGAUCAUUACUGACACUGAGGAACGAAAGCAUGGGUAGCGAAGAGGAUUAGAUACCCUCGUAGUCCAUGCCGUAAACGAUGUGUGUUAGACGUUGGAAAUUUAUUUUCAGUGUCGCAGGGAAACCGAUAAACACACCGCCUGGGGAGUACGACCGCAAGGUUAAAACUCAAAUGAAUUGACGGGGACCCGCACAAGUAGUGGAGCAUGUGGUUUAAUUCGAAGAUACGCGCAGAACCUUACCAACACUUGACAUGUUCGUCGCGACUCUAAGAGAUUAGAGUUUUCGGUUCGGCCGGACGAAACACAGGUGCUGCAUGGCUGUCGUCAGCUCGUGUCGUGAGAUGUUGGGUUAAGUCCCGCAACGAGCGCAACCCUCACUUUUAGUUGCCAUCAUUAAGUUGGGCACUCUGAAAGAACUGCCAGUGAUAAGCUGGAGGAAGGUGGGGAUGACGUCAAGUCCUCAUGGCCCUUACGUGUUGGGCUACACACGUGCUACAAUGGUAUCUACAACAGGAAGCAAGACUGCGAAGUUAAGCAAAUCCCUAAAAGAUACCUCAGUUCGGAUUGCACUCUGCAACUCGAGUGCAUGAAGCUGGAAUUACUAGUAAUCGUGGAUCAGCGUGCCACGGUGAAUGCGUUCCCGGGUCUUGUACACACCGCCCGUCACACCAUGGGAGUUGGUUCUACCUUAAGGCAAGGUUUCAAACCCUUGACCACGGUAUAGUCAGCGACUGGGGUGAAGUCGUAACAAGGUAGCCGUAGGGGAACCUGCGGCUGGAUUACCUCCUUUCU
rnacentral:rRNA from 1 species